rnacentral:lncRNA from 1 species
GCCGGUACCCGGCUGUAAGGCAAGCUGGGAUGCGCGGAGUAGCGGGUGGAAAGCUGGACUGGAGUUCUCACUCGGCCGCUGGGUGACUUCGGUGCACUAGGGAUAGUAACAGUACCACCUCGUAGGGUUGUAGAAAGACCAAGUGAGUUAAUAUUUGUAAAGUGUUUAGAACAGCGUCUACUGCAUGGAAAGUAGUAUUUAUUUGUUAGAGAGACUCCAGGAGGUCUUGCCCAGGGAUUGACUUCUCCCUUCCCUGUCUCCACCCCCCACAUUCCCGUUUGUGAGCCAAGCCUUGCUUUUGCACCGGCCGGGCUCUCUUGCCUGGAAAUGCAUACCCAUCUCAAACCUGGGCUUUAAAAUCACCUCCUCUGGGACGCCUUCCUCUACUUCUCACAGUUCAGGCCUGUUCUGCCCCACACAGCAGAAAAUGCCCACGAUGCAAUACCAGAGUCUGCAUGGGACCAUUUCAACAACCCUUAGAAGCUGACUCAGCUGUCUCCUGGCCCUGACUUUUCUAAGAUGAGAGGAGCUGGUAGGAACAAUUUGGGAACCCUCAAAGGCUGAGAGUAUCCCACCCACUUCACAGAUGAAGCAAACUGAGGCCCAGAGAAGGGAAAUUACUUGCCCAAGAUCACCCAGCAAGUAAGAAACAGAGCUGGAGAUGAGCUCAGGCCAGCACGGAACCACGCAAACUCCUUCUGUAGGCUUUGUAAAGGAUUGAUGAGAAAAGCAGAUGGUUAAGAGCUCUACAACUUCUGUGAGAUGGAGUCUCACCCUGUCGCCCAGGCUGGAGUGCAAUGGCGCAAUCUCGGCUCACUGCAACCUCCACCUCCCGGUUCAAGCGAUUCUCCUGCCUCCCGAGUAGCUGGGAUUACAGGUGCCCGCCACCACGCCUGGCUCAUUUUUUGUAUCUUCAGUAGAGACGGGGUUUCACCAUGUUGGCCAGGCUGGUCUCCAACUCCUGACCGCCCGCCUUGGCCUCCCAAAGUGCUGGGAUUACAGGCGUGAGCCACCACACCCAGCCAGAUCUGCCUCUUAGAACAAUGCUAUGGAAGUUGAUUUUGGGGAAUGGGUGGAAGAGGCAGAGGUCAGGCAGAGUGUUCAAUAAAGAGGAUCAGACAGGCCAGGUAGGAGAAGCUGAUGCCUAGCCUAGGACAGGGCAGGUAGCUCAGCAAGUGUGAGCACCUCUCAGUGUAAGAGCUGAGGUGGGAGAGGGGCAGAUGGGCUGUGGAGCUGGCCACACUAAAGGCAGCUGUGUGUUUGCAGGGCUCAGGACCAAAGGGAGGCUGAGUCAGGAAGGCACUCCUGGGCUUCUGGCUUGAGCAGGCUCAAAGUCAACAGAUGCAGCUGCAUCUGUGUCUAGCGAUUGGGAAGGUCCACAGCAGGACUCCAGCUCAUACCUGGGAGUCAGGGCAAAGUCCAGCCUAGGGAAGAGCCCCCAAGAGCCAGGCUGGGUGUCAGGUGGGGCCCUUGUCCUGAAGGGAGAAGAGACUACAAGGUAGAGCACCAAGCACACCUGGCUCUGGCACCUUUACGUCUCUGGCCACUUCUCUCUUAUGGCUCCCUGUAACAAUGAGAUACGGACACCUGGAGGCACCUGGGGCUAGUUUCUUCCUCAUACCUGCCCCGCUCCGAUGAGGCUCCCUCCAGGCUCCGCAUCUUGACUUAGUUACAACCUGAUCCUGAGCUGGGACCCAAGGGUGUCCUGCUCCUGGCUCCAAUCUCCUGGUGAGGAUGAACUUUGGUUUGGCUCCACCUGCUCAAGUGCCUUCGGAAGUGUGCCCACCUUGCCAGCCUCGUCAGAAUGCAGUCUCAGGAUGAUGAAAGAGUUCAGGAAAUGCCACCCCAAGGUACGUCACUUUGGACUUCAAACUGAGAGCAUUUGAGGAACAGCAAAUGCAGGGAGGGACUUUCUCUGAACUUCCCUUAUCUGCUUCAAGAUAAAUCCUCCAAAAGGAACUCAAUGGUUAUAACUCCCCUCCCCAGGAACCUCAUCAACCAGAGAAGAGUAAACUCAGAUCACAGGACAGGAGACUGGGGGUCAACACCACCCCCAGACAGACUUUAUCACAUAUCACCUAUUCUUCUGAAGGCCCAUUCAUCUUUCCUCCAAAUCAUUUACUCUCUCCUAAGUUGCCUGAACCCUCCCUCCGCUCACCCCCUUUAAGAGGUAUAUAUGCUCUCACUGAGGUUUAGGACAUUUGCUUUUCUUUCAUGUGAUGCCCCCAUGCAUGUAGUAUAUUUGUGUACCUUUUCUUCUGUAACUCUUUCUUCUACUGUCAGUUUAUUUCAUAGAGUCAAUUACCGAACCCUCAGAGGGUAGAGGGGAAAUCUUCCCUCCCCUGCAGUGAUGCUCUGGGACUGCCAGACACCUGGUGUCUAAUAGACACCAGAACUCACUCCCAACAGCCCAUUUGGGCAAUUAGUCGCUCAUAUGAUAAACAUUUUUUUAAACCCCCAAAGUGUACCAGUCCUUGGACUGAAAGCUGGAUUUACAAGGUCAAAUCAGAUUCAGUCCUUGUGAUAGAAGAGUUCAUAAUACAGUGGAGCCAAACGCAUGAAACAUAACACAGCCUAUUACAACACAACGCGACAUGACAGCUUCACACAUCCCAACACAGGAUACAAGGGCUCAGGUCUGGUUUCUAACUUCUGGGGCCUCAGCUGAGAAAAGGGCAGCUCCCAGUGAAAGGAGGCUUAUUAAUUAGGGAGGGAGCUUAUUGGAAUGUCAGCAGUGGAAUGCAGAGGGGAAGAGACUCUAAGUCAGACUAGCUGCUUCAGUCCUGGCACCAUAAUCUUGGAUGGAUGACAGAACUCUCUGUGCCUUAGUUUCCACAUCUACAAAAUGGAGAGAAUAAUAGUGUGUAUGUCAUAGGGCUUAAGGAUUAAUUGAGAUAAUACACGCAAAGUGCCUGGCACAGUGCCUAGAAGGUAUAGCAAGCACAAUAGCAUUAGCUGUGUGGUUCUUGUUGCCAUAGAAUUAUAGAACCUGAUUAUACUCUUAGGUUCUUGGAGUCAGAGAACUGUAGAAUCAUAGAACCCUAGGACCUUAGAACCUUAGACAUAGAGGUUUAUAAAUAUAUAUAAAUAUAACGUGCACCAGAAUAUUAGCUAGGAGGGUGAAGAAGGGAGAUCUCCCCAUUCCUUCAGAUUGAGGCGAAAUGUCCUCUAAUGCCUGAGUUCCAGGGCUGUCACAUUCAGUUGCUCAGGUUGUACCUAAUAUACCUCUAAAGAAGGCCAUUCACAUAGACUUCGAUGUGAAUGGAGUUCCUUAGACGCAGCAUGACAUGCACCAUUGCGUGAGAAAGCCCACAUUUCUCCCAGAGAAGUCGGCUAAGUCCCAGGGGGCUUACACUUAGUACCAUAAUCUCUGCCUCCAGCAAAACAUGCUGGCUUUGUCCUGAGCCACACUGACCUGAAUGUGAUGAAACUGAAACUUGGAUUCCAUAUAAAAAUAAAAUCACUCCUGCACGUUGUGCACAUGUACCCUAAAAUUUAAAGUAUAAUAAUAAUAAAGUUAAAAAAAUAAAAAUAAAAAAAUAAAAUCACUCUCCUUAAGCAUUCCCAAGAGCAGAUUACACAGAGGUCCAGAAUGUUCUGGAGAGGUAUCACAUCUUGUGAAGCACAGCUUAUUGCUACCCAGAUGUACAAUGAGAUGUGAGCUAUUCCUCCCUGACCUGUCAUCUUUCUGCUCACUUCUCUCCCUCCCUCCCAAUUUGCUCCUCAGGAGCCCAGGCAUAAGCUAUCCCAGGCUCUUGGUGGGGUCUUAACUCAAAGCCCUUAUCAAAGCAUUUUCCUCAACAAAAGUAGUUCCUUUUCCUAACAGGAAUUUGGGCCAUAUGUUUAGGUUGUAAUUUUUGUAUGCCUUAUCAUAUUUAGUGCCACUUAUAAAACCUGAGACUCACAGAAUUUUAAUAGCAAAUAAUCUAAGAAACAAAAAUUUUGGAAUAACCCAGCCUAAGGACCACAAGUUCUAAGAAUUGUGGAGAAUUUCAGAAUCCCAAAAAUCUUAACAAUUAGAAGAGGCCUUAAGGGGUCAUUGAGUCCACACCUUAUUCAACACAGGCAUCUCCUCUGCAACAUUGCUGGCAAGUGCUGAUACUGCCUCUGCAACAACAACAAAAAAGCAUACUUCUGAGAAAAAUUGGAAGACAGCUUGUUAUCUGAACUAUGCGUAGACUUGAAUAAUCUAUUUUUGUUUUUUUUGAGAUGGAGUUUCGCUCUUGUUGCCCAGGCUGGAGUGCAAAGGUGCGAUCUCAGCUCACCGCAACCUCCGCCUCCCAGGUUCAAGCGAUUCUCCUGCCUCAGCCUCCUGAGUAGCUGGAAUUACAGGCAUGCACCACCACACCCAGCUAAGUUUGUAUUUUUGGUAUUCUUUGUAUUUUUAGUUUCUCCACGUUGGUCAGGCUGGCCUCGAACUCCCACCCUCAGGUGAUCCACCUGCCUUGGCCUCCUAAAGUUCUGGGAUUACAGGCAUGAGCCACUGCACCCAACCUGAAUAAUCUAUUAGAGUCUUUAUCUCUAAGAAGAGAAAUACAUCUGAACUAAAGGGUAAAAAAUGGCAUGUUUUAAUUGGUAAGUCUAAAUGCAAAACGAUGACAAUAAAAUUUUAAAGGACUGC